rnacentral:rRNA from 1 species
UACGGAGGAGGCAAGCGUUAUCCGGAAUUAUUGGGCGUAAAGCGUCCGUAGGUGGUUUAGUAAGUCUGCUGUUAAAGCGCGGGGCUUAACUCCGUAUCGGCAGUGGAAACUACUAGACUAGAGUGUUGUAGGGGUAGAGGGAAUUCCCAGUGUAGCGGUGAAAUGCGUAGAUAUUGGGAAGAACACCGGUGGCGAAGGCGCUCUACUGGGCCAUAACUGACACUGAUGGACGAAAGCUAGGGGAGCAAACGGG